rnacentral:lncRNA from 1 species
UCUUGCUGCAAAUCAAGGAUAUCUUUAUACAGCAGAAUGAAGAGUCUCUGUUUUAUGCGCAGACACGAAAGCUCUAUCAAUACAAGCCUUCUAGACAAUUGAACCGCUCCCGCACUACUACUCCCCACUAAAAGAGCAAUUGAUAAUCCUGAUAACCUAAACAGAGCUACAAGUAUAACAUUUCAUUGAUUCCCAGAAAAAUCCCGGCAACAAACGAAAAAUUUUUGAAAAAUUGCCAGGAAAUCCCGAACUCAAUCGCCUUCGGCCCGAAACCUGAAGUUUUUUUGUUGUUUUGAAAUUUUCAAUCUUGCAAACAACUUAAUGCAUGAAUUUCUAGGCCAAUAUUAACCAGGCAUAUAACUAUCUGUAUGAGAAGAUGAAGAGACUGCCUCAAGAAACUAACGCAUUAGCGAAACCCUAGGAGGUCGUACCCAGUGCACAAGCUCCCGCUUUACGCAGGGUCUGGGAGAGCUGAAUGUCGGCUAGCCUUACCCCCAUUUAUGGAGAGGCUGCUCCCAAGUCUCAAUCCGAGACCUACCGCUCAUGGGCGGACUUGCCAUCACACCAACUGCGACCUCACCCUAGGAGAAAGAUACAAAAUCGAAGAGAGAGAAAGAUA